CGCGGCUGCUGUGGAGGCGGCGGUGCAGUUUGAGGUGGAUGUACUGGGUGAACUUCGUGCUGCACAGCUUGCACUGGUGAUGUUUCUGGAGAUGGGCCAGCUGAGUGAAGCUCUUUUUACAUAAAUUACACUGGAACGGUCUCUCACCACUGUGCACUCGGAGAUGGACCUACAAUUACACAGAUUGGCAAACUACCUGGGUCUCUCCAGCCAAUUAGGGCCCAUCUGCACAGCACGCCAUGCAGGCCAGGCCAAAGCCAGCCACCGUAGGGGCCCAGCCAACCGGUCGGGCCUCUGCAAAGCUCAGCGAUGGCUCAGGCUGUCUGAGGCCCCACAUAUUUGCUUCCAUAACAGCCCAUCUGCCUGUAGCUUGGCCUGGUCCACUUUCAUCCCCAACGGCCCCAAAGAUUAGGGAUCCUCCGCAGACUUUGUUGCCAAUUAAAGCACUUGUUGCUAUAUAGUUGUUAGGUAAUCACCAGAGCCAUUAUUCAUCACGAGGUUACGUGGGCUACUUUGACGAUAAAUGUCUAUUUAUUUUAUUGCAAUGCAAUUCAGAGAUGUUUGCUUUUCCACAAAGUAAGAAACAUGACAUUUGAUAAUAUGCUGAAUUUGUUUUAGCAAUUGUAGUGUUAGAUUUAGCACAGAAAACAGUAAUAAGGCAUAAAGGUUUAUAUGAACCUACUCAGAAGGUCAUGAAGAAGGAAAAAAGUUUCAUCUCACAGCAGCAAUAUGACUGUAAUUCAUCAUCAUAUAAAUUAGGUGUGGCUAUUAUUAGUGUUGUAAAUAAACCUCUUUUCCUGCUGUCAGCAUUUUAAACAGCACUAUCAGAUGAUGAUCUAUCCACCCUGUGUGUCAUUAUGUUUUUUAUGAUUUUUAUGACAAGGGCUAAAUCUUCUUAGCUGUCUUUUUUGUGUAGUG